rnacentral:rRNA from 1 species
UAUCCGGCCUGAGAGGGUGAGCGGACACACUGGAACUGAGACACGGUCCAGACUCCUACGGGAGGCAGCAGUAGGGAAUAUUGCUCAAUGGGGGAAACCCUGAAGCAGCAACGCCGCGUGGAGGAUGAAGGUUUUAGGAUCGUAAACUCCUUUUGUUAGAGAAGAUAAUGACGGUAUCUAACGAAUAAGCACCGGCUAACUCCGUGCCAGCAGCCGCGGUAAUACGGAGGGUGCAAGCGUUACUCGGAAUCACUGGGCGUAAAGAGUGCGUAGGCGGGAGGACAAGUCAGGUGUGAAAUCCUAUGGCUUAACCAUAGAACUGCAUUUGAAACUAUCCUUCUGGAGUGUGGGAGAGGUAGGUGGA